AGUCGCAGCUUGCGUGUGUGAGGGAGAGGACACAUGCAAGUCUAUUGAGGCGUAGGACACUUUGUAGCUCCAAUAAUACUCUGCUAUUUCUUUUUUUUUAAUUUGCACUAUUCCCUUUAAUCGGGUGCGAUCAGACCACAGGCUCUGAUUAAACGGAAAAUCCGAGGCGGGAUUUGAAAUUGCUGGAGGAUAUCGACUGUAGUGGAGUGGAGUUAGCCUGAUGUGCAAGAAAAUGCCGACAACGUCAGCCCUGAAGUUUGCAUCAACUUUCAGUGAAGACAGAGUGCCACCAGACAAGAUGAGGAGCAGCUUGCAGAUGGAAACAAGGGUGGGUGGUUGGAAGGCUGGAUAAAGGCUGGUAGAUGACUGAACUCAGAGACCCGGCGCAGCUCAUCAUCAUUGCCACGGGCUCUCGUCUUCCUCCUCUCCUCCUGUGGCCCCGUACCUCCAUCCAGGGGUCCAGCAGAGCCAGCGAAGCCCAAGCGGGGAGCUAGUGAGUGGGCUGGGAAGGAUGGAGAAGGUCCCCGAAGGCGAGAAGCACCUCUGGAGCUACCAGCAUGCAGGAGAAAUCAAUACCAAACACAGAGCCUGCACAGCUCUGAGUGGGGUUUCCUGUGUUAGUCUGUGGCCUAGGGGCCCGCAGACCUCCAAAGGACAGGCCCUGCGUGGCCCUCUCAGCUGCAGCCCCGACUCCUUAGACUGGACCUCAGUCCCGAACUCCACUGGCUGUGUGUGGUUCUGCUGAAGGGGAUCACUCCCCAAAUAAUACCCAGAAUGCUGAGAGACCGCCAAGAGGGAUAUUCCUUUCUCUUGAUUUUUUCUCCCCUUCAUAAGAUUGACAUAUCCCCCACCUUCUGCCUCUGGCUGUUUAAAAACCAGUUUGGGAGUUCUGCUUUUGACUGGCUCUCCAUCCUCGACUCGCCCGUUGUUUAUUCCCCAAACAGUUUUUACAUUUGACAAAGAGACAGUACGAUCUUUAUUUUCUCCUCCACUCUUGGCUUGCUGUUACUAUGGUGAGCUGUCUGUUAAAACCAGAAACACUGGCACAUGAAGCAUGAUCUUUUUUUUUUUUUUUUACCUUCGUGAUGCCUGUUAUUCAAUUCCAGACUGUUUAAAAACACUGAACAGCAAAGAGGGCAGAAGAUCACAGAGCAAAGAGACCUUCCCACCUUGUAGUGGAGAUGGUA